rnacentral:sRNA from 1 species
AGCAGAUUUAAAUAUCUCGGUUGACUGCAGCUUCAAUCAUGGGAUCUGUGACUGGAAACAGGAUAGAGAAGAUGAUUUUGACUGGAAUCCUGCUGAUCGAGAUAAUGAGCUAUAUCAUAUUGGGAGCCCAUAGGUUAUUCCAGGACCUCCACAGCUCAUAUAAGGUUAUGUUAAGUCUUAAGUUGAGUCUUCUGUCUGAGGGAAGUUCCCUAUUUACAAACACUCAAUUCACAAAUAACCCCAGGGUUCUCAGCUUCUGCAUCAUUCAAAUCAUACCCCUGCUCCUCCUGCACCUCCAUUGGAUUUCUAGCUAUUGGCUUCUAUAUGGCAGUUCCAGCCUUGGCAGGUCACAAGAAAGACAUUG